UAGGGAAUCUUCGGCAAUGGGGGCAACCCUGACCGAGCAACGCCGCGUGAGUGAAGAAGGUUUUCGGAUCGUAAAGCUCUGUUGUAAGUCAAGAACGAGUGUGAGAGUGGAAAGUUCACACUGUGACGGUAGCUUACCAGAAAGGGACGGCUAACUACGUGCCAGCAGCCGCGGUAAUACGUAGGUCCCGAGCGUUGUCCGGAUUUAUUGGGCGUAAAGCGAGCGCAGGCGGUUUGAUAAGUCUGAAGUUAAAGGCUGUGGCUCAACCAUAGUUCGCUUUGGAAACUGUCAAACUUGAGUGCAGAAGGGGAGAGUGGAAUUCCAUGUGUAGCGGUGAAAUGCGUAGAUAUAUGGAGGAACACCGGUGGCGAAAGCGGCUCUCUGGUCUGUAACUGACGCUGAGGCUCGAAAGCGUGGGGAGCGAACAGGAUUAGAUACCCUGGUAGUCCACGCCGUNNNGAUGAGUGCUAGGUGUUGGAUCCUUUCCGGGAUUCAGUGCCGCAGCUAANGCANUAANCACUCCGCCUGGGGAGUACNACCGCAAGGNUG
rnacentral:rRNA from 1 species